rnacentral:rRNA from 1 species
CGAACGCUGGCGGCGUGCCUAAUACAUGCAAGUCGAGCGAGCUCGCUUAGAUGAAUUUGGUGCUUGCACCAAAUGAAACUAGAUACAAGCGAGCGGCGGACGGGUGAGUAACACGUGGGUAACCUGCCCAAGAGACUGGGAUAACACCUGGAAACAGAUGCUAAUACCGGAUAACAACACUAGACGCAUGUCUAGAGUUUAAAAGAUGGUUCUGCUAUCACUCUUGGAUGGACCUGCGGUGCAUUAGCUAGUUGGUAAGGUAACGGCUUACCAAGGCAAUGAUGCAUAGCCGAGUUGAGAGACUGAUCGGCCACAUUGGGACUGAGACACGGCCCAAACUCCUACGGGAGGCAGCAGUAGGGAAUCUUCCACAAUGGACGCAAGUCUGAUGGAGCAACGCCGCGUGAGUGAAGAAGGGUUUCGGCUCGUAAAGCUCUGUUGGUAGUGAAGAAAGAUAGAGGUAGUAACUGGCCUUUAUUUGACGGUAAUUACUUAGAAAGUCACGGCUAACUACGUGCCAGCAGCCGCGGUAAUACGUAGGUGGCAAGCGUUGUCCGGAUUUAUUGGGCGUAAAGCGAGUGCAGGCGGUUCAAUAAGUCUGAUGUGAAAGCCUUCGGCUCAACCGGAGAAUUGCAUCAGAAACUGUUGAACUUGAGUGCAGAAGAGGAGAGUGGAACUCCAUGUGUAGCGGUGGAAUGCGUAGAUAUAUGGAAGAACACCAGUGGCGAAGGCGGCUC